AACCAUUCUCACCUGCGGCUAGACCUGCGGAAGGAUCAUUAACAAGCCGUGGGGAUCACCCUGAAAGGGGCAGAUUCCUCACCUGGCCAUCCUUGUUUACUUUAAUGCUGUUGCUUUGGUGAGCCUGCCAUCAGGCUGCCGGUGAAACUCAGUUUCCGGGUUCGUUGUUCACCAAGCUUUUAACUAAAUCUGUAAAGUUUUGUUGUCUGAGUGAAAGCAUAACUUGUAAAAAACUUUCAA
rnacentral:misc_RNA from 1 species